GGCUCUGUGCUGACAGCAGAGAGCCCAAUAUGGGGCUCAAACUCACGAGCCAUGAGAUCAUGGCCCGAGAUGAAGUUGGACGUUUAACUGACUGAGCCACCCAGGUGCCCCCGGAUAUAUUAGUGUUAAAAGUGUUUGUGGUAAACAAACAUUAUAUAUAAGCAAGAUAAAAGUGGUACUGUGUAAGCUCUUGUAACAUGUUACGAAAUCCAGUGCCUAUGGGAGCCAGCCAGAUGAACUGAAUGAAGAAAGAGAGCUGGGUGUGAGGCAAUAGGGAGUGAGGAGGACUGCGGUGAGGUGAAGAGCACACACUGUGUCUGAAGACGGCGGUUUCUUUUCAGCUCCAGCUGAUGUCUGUCACGUGAUACAAUGAGCCCAGUGUGGCCAGAGCUCCUGGAUUCACAAAAGAAACUGGAAACCCAGAUUCUUAUGAAAAAUUCCCUUACACAGUCAUUCCCUCGGAGGUACUGUGGGUUUGGUACCAGACUACUGCAAUAAAGCAGACGCCUGUGGCUCAACAUGGAGAAAAGCCUACUAUUGAGCCCACGAGCCCAGGCGUGGUUACCUUUUUGCGUGGCCGAAGCUUGUCCCGCCAUUCCUUCAGGUUCUGAUUAUGGCUCUCAUCUAGGGCCUUCAGCUUCUGGGUUUCAUGUUCUACCAGGAGGUGACACUUUUCAUUCUGGAACAAAUUCCAGGCAGAACAGGAGAGAUUUGUGUAAAGAUGAGGACAUGGACCUGACAGAGACACUCCCAACUUUAUUAUUCUCUGAGGUUUUUGGCGCCCCCGCUUAAGUUUUGUGCUCCAGCUCCAGCCCAGCCCCUGCAGCUGCCUGAGGCCCCUUGGAUACAAAUGUCACCCCCAUAGACUGCAGUCUGGGAGCUGGGCUCUGAAGCCUGCAGCACCACGGACCACCCUUAGAAGGGUGAAGUCUUUGUCUGAAGACUGGGAAUGGCCUACCCUUCCUCCUCCCCUACUCUCUUUCAGCUGGGGUUGCUGAGCUGGGACUACAUACAGGAAGCUGCCUGGGAGCCAAGUCAACACAGGAAAGGAGAGCCCAAAUGACAGAGAAGUAGCUCCUCAUGACGCAGCUGGAGUACAUGAAUCCCAACACAUGGACGUGAGCUUUUCAGAUACAUGAGCUCCCCAGAGUCUCCUCUCCUCUGUUGCUGAAGCGGGACUGAGCUGGGGUUUCGAUCACUUGCGUCCUAGAGCCCCUGGCCUCCGCCCAGCACAUAUUCACCUCCUUCUUCAUCAGUUUGAGCUGCUCCUGGAACUUGGCAUAGUCCCGAUCCUGCUCCAGGCGGAUCCGCCUGGCUUCCUCCCGGCGGCGCACGGCAUGGUCUUGCUCCAUCUUCUCCACCUGCUGCUUCUGCUGGCGUUCCAGGUUCUCCAGCUCCGUGUCAAAGAACUUCUUCUUGGCCUGGAAAGAGUAGAAGGAGAAACUGAGCAAAGUCUCUUUAUACCUGGGAGGAAGAUGGGAUGCAAGAUGGGGAGAGCCCAGAGUUUAUCUUCAGACCGGGGCCUGAAUCCCAGCUCUACACCUCUCUGCUGUACGACCUGGGGCGAGUCAUUUAACCGGAGUCUCUGCUGCCUCUGUACAAAAGGGAGGCCAGACCAUCUGCCUUGCAGAGUUCUUGCAUGGUGCUCGGCAAAGGUCGGUCUCCCUCUAGAGGUCCUCCUCUGUGACUCAGAGGAGCUCUGUGACCUUCAUGAGAUCCUGUGUUUAUGAGUCAGUGGCCCAGGAGACCAAGAAACCAAAGGAACCGGGCUCUCUCCUGCCCCUAAAGAAAACAUGGAGGCAAGAAGCCCUCCAGGGACCCAUCUGUCCUCACACUCACGUUGAUUUCUUGUUCAAAACGCUUAUGCAUCUGCUCCAGCUGCAGCUCAUGCUUGCUGCUCAGCUGGGUCUGGUUCCGGUGUUCUUCUUUCUGGAGCAGCCGAAGCUCUCGGAGCUCCUGGCGCCUGAAGGGUUAAAGGAUGCGGACAUGUCAGUCAGAAAGUGGCCCGCCUCAGAGGGCACAUAAUUCAUAGCCAGAGACACUGAAGGCUGGAGUGUGGAACGGCAUCACAGAAGUCUGGGGGCAGAGGCAAGACUAGAACUCAGGCUUAAUUUGACAUUUAUUGACAGACAGAACAUUAAUAAUCUUAACAUAUAAAGAGUCCUUACAAAUCAAUAAGAAAAACAGGAGCAGCCUACUUUUAAAAAGGCACACAAGGGGCGCCUGGGUGGCUCAAUCGGUUGAACACCCAACUUUGGCUCAGGUCAUGAUCUCGUGGUUCGUGGGUUUGAGCCCUGUGUCAGGCUCUGUGCUGACAGCUCGGAGCCUGGAGCCUGCUUUGGAUUCUGGUCUCCUCUCUCUCUCUCUCUCUCUCUCUCUCUCUCUCUCUGUCCCUCCCCCCGCCCUCCCCUCUCAAAAAAGGAUAGACAUUUAAAAAAAUGUUUUUUAAUUUAAAAAGGGACACAAAACAUAAGUAGACAUGAACCAAAAAACAAAAACAAAAAAAUUUAAAUUUACCUAAUAUGGAUAUGAAAUGCAAAUUAAAAAUUCUGUUUUCAUUAAAAAGGCUAGACUAUAGGGGAAGUUGAUACUUUCACAACCUGCUCAUAAGUAUAAAUUGGUACAUUUCUGGCAGACAGUUUGGUAAUAAGUUCAUGCCUUUUAACAUAGUAUUUCCAUUUCUAGAUAUUAAUUCUAAAGAAAUAUUUAUAGAUGCACAGCACAACUGAAUAAGGAUAUCCAUAACAAAAUUAUUUAGAAUAGCACAAAAUUUGAAAUGACUUAAAUGUCCAUUAUCUAUGUCUAAUUAAAUAAAUUAAAAUGUAUGCAUCUGG